CAUGAAUUUUACUAAUACAGAUGAUAUAACUUCUGAUGUCCAAGACCCUUCAACAAUAGCUGAUUUUGAACAUGAAGAUGAUGAAGAGCCACCCGUUAAUCCUCUACGAUGGUUCGGAAUCUUGGUUCCCUCAACACUGAGACAAUGCCAAUCAGAUUUCAUAAACGCCAUUCAAGAAUGUGCACAUCUUGCAAGUCUGGAGAAGCAACUUCCUGUUAUUAGAGACCAGUACAUCAGUUUACAGAAGAAAAUGAAACAAGAGGUUUUAUCUUGUGACAUUAAUGAAAUGGUGAGCAACUAGGUUUUUCGGUUGCUUGGAUUUGUCAAGCUGCUUUUUUUCCCCCACAAGGGCAUAUUUGAAGAGAUUCUUGGCACUGAUCCGUUCUAUUAUUUACAUAAACCGAAGAUAAGGCCCAAUGAAAAAGCAAGAGGACAAAAUUAGAUGAGACGAUUAUGAACAAGUUUACCAAAAGGACAGUCUUCUUUAUUUCUUUCUUUUUUUUACUUCAAGCGAAUUUGAAUCCUUGAUCCUGAUUGGUCAAUCUGUGGCAACAACAUUGUCGCACAUUGUAUUGUGCUAUUCCUACUGCAUGCACACUUGAAUAGGAUAAUUGAUGCAAGUUAUGUCCAGUGUACAGGUUCCAUUUUAACUAUGCAUUCAAGUUUGCUUGAAGAUAAAAUUGUUACCCCACUUGCACUCGUGUUCCACGGAAACUGUUGUGUGUCUGUGUUCCUUAGGCCUUGGGCCUUGCGGCACAUUGGACACAGACACACUACAUUCCUCUGUGUUCCACUCAUGCGUGUGGGAUAACUAAUAGUGUAGGUUUUCAAAGGCAGACCAAUGACACAAUUUUAAUGUUAAGAGUCCAAAUCUAAAUCUCUUACAUUUGCUCUUUGAUCCCCCCCCCCACCAUUUGGCAGACUUCAUUCAAGUGUAGAUCCAAAAUCACAAGGUUGGAGCACCAACCUUUGGAUUGAACUAUAUCCCAGGAUAAAGAUUUUGCGAGAAUUAUGUUAUCAACAUGGGUUCACUUUUUUGUAACGACCAUUGAAAUGGGUUUUUCUUUUUUGUUAUUGCCUUUUUUGCUUUGGGAAUGCCUUUUAAAUGAUGGUCUUUGUUUUUUUAUGGUAAAACAAUCAAAAACAGAAAAGUAACAUCAGGUCAAGAGAAUUUACUUUAGUCAUAGUUCUAUCUUAAACGUAAUCCUAUGCCCACAUAUAUUUUUUGUCUCAAUAGUCUUUAUACACAUCUUGAGUUUUGGGAUAAAAUAGUUGGGAUAAAAAGGCAAUUGUGGCAUAAACAAAAAUACAUGCUAGAGUAAUGGUCAGACCUGGGCUGGACUCUCAGCUAGUAGUCUGGGAGCCCAGCAAGGUUAAUAAUGAUAACUUUGAAGACAAAACAAAUUCAUAUCUUAAUUAAAUUAAGUGAAGUGAAAAGGAUUACGUGCUGAAAUAGGUUAUUCCACAUAAGAGCAAUAUACUUUGUAUACAAUUUACAAUAUUUGAUCAAACUCCAAUCUAGAAGUCUGCAAUUAAGUGCAAAUGCUAAAUUUAGAAGGUCACCAAGGAUUUUUAACACCAAUAAUUAGAAUGUCAAGUACAACCUUAGUUGAGCUAUUUGUGGAUUAAACAGUUUCCAGACCAAUGCCUGAUGUUAAAUACUAGGUAGAUCAAAAAAAAAAUGAAUGGGGAAUUUGUUUUAAUGCACAAUAAAGAAAGUUUACAAGUUA
rnacentral:lncRNA from 1 species